rnacentral:tRNA from 2 species
AUCUUUCUAGUACAAACUUAGUAUCAGUGACUUCCAAUCACCCAAUCUUGGUUAAAGCCCAAGGAAAGAUA